rnacentral:rRNA from 1 species
CCGAUAUCGGCACGACACCCGUGGCCGAGGGCGUUUCUUGCCCUUACCCGACGCUCCAGGAGGAACGCGUGGGGAGGGAACCGACUAGAUACCCUGGUAUUCCACGCCCUAAACUUGCGGGGUUAGGUGGGGAUCCUUCCACGGAUUCCGUCCCCCAGGUAACGCAUUAAGCGCCCCGCCCUGGGGAGUACGCCCGCAAGGCUAAACUCCAAAGGAAUGGACGGGGGCCCGCACAAGCGGCGGAGCAUGUUGCUUAAUUNGACGCAAGGCGAAGAACCUUACCAAGGUUUGACAUGCAGGGAAAAGCCGUAGAGAUACGGUGUCCGUAAGGGUCCUGCACAGGUGGUGCAUGGCUGUCGUCAGCUCGUGUCGUGAGAUGUUGGGUUAAGUCCCGCAACGAGCGCAACCCUCGUCCUAUGUUGCCAGCGGAUAAUGCCGGGGACUCAUAGGAGACUGCCGGGGUCAACUCGGAGGAAGGUGGGGAUGACGUCAAGUCCUCAUGCCCCUUAUGUCUUGGGCUGCAAACAUGCUACAAUGGCCAGUACAAAGGGUUGCGAGACCGCAAGGUGGAGCGAAUCCCAAAAAGCUGGUCUCAGUUCGGAUUGGGGUCUGCAACUCGACCCCAUGAAGUCGGAGUCGCUAGUAAUCGCGAAUCAGCAACGUCGCGGUGAAUACGUUCCCGGGCCUUGUACACACCGCCCGUCACGUCACGAAAGUCGGUAACACCCGAAGCCGGUGGCCUAACCCUUCUGGGAGGGAGCCGUCGAAGGUGGGAUCGGCGAUUGGGACGAAGUCGUAACAAGGUAAAUCGAAUUCCCGCGGCC